CAGAGAAUUCCACAUCCUGAUUGUUCUUACAGUAAAAAAACCUUUCCUUUUACUGUAAGAACAUAAGCAUUUUAAAAUUAGUAUUACUUUUUAAAGAGUCAUUCUAAGUACCUUAACCACUGCAUCUAGUGGUAAUUGUGCUAUCAGACUUAGAGCACCAUCCUCUGGUUUCAAUUAAACCAUUUUGUAAAAAAAAUGGCCCCUGAGACACUGAUGACUCAACCUCCACUAACUGCUAAUUUGUUCCACUCCGAAUUUGCCAAAACUAAAUUCACCAAUAUUUGGGUACCAUUGAUUGGCUGAGUAAAUUAAGUGAUACCCUUAGUAUAAUAGCACCAUAACUUGGUGGAAUGGAGUACCCCUUUAAACAUAUUAAAUCCUGACUAAUGAAAGCAUAAUAAAAUUUUGUAUUAACAUUAUUUAUUC